CAGCAAGUACGGGGCGACGACCCGCAGUCCACGCAUCCGGGCACUCCGACUGCGACGAGCCAGUAGUGCGACCGACGUACUUCACC
rnacentral:ncRNA from 1 species